rnacentral:tRNA from 1 species
GGGCGAGUGGCGGAACUGGUUUACGCGCAGCACUCAAAAUGCUGUGGCCGCAAGGCCAUGUGGGUUCGACUCCCACCUCGCCCA